rnacentral:rRNA from 2 species
GGCGAGCUUGCUCAAAGAUGGUGAGAGUGGCGCACGGGUGCGUAACGCGUGAGCAACCUACCUCUAUCAGGGGGAUAGCCUCUCGAAAGAGAGAUUAACACCGCAUAACAUCAACAGUUCGCAUGUUCGGUUGAUUAAAUAUUUAUAGGAUAGAGAUGGGCUCGCGUGACAUUAGCUAGUUGGUAGGGUAACGGCUUACCAAGGCGACGAUGUCUAGGGGCUCUGAGAGGAGAAUCCCCCACACUGGUACUGAGACACGGACCAGACUCCUACGGGAGGCAGCAGUAAGGAAUAUUGGUCAAUGGGCGGAAGCCUGAACCAGCCAUGCCGCGUGCAGGAUGACUGCCCUAUGGGUUGUAAACUGCUUUUGUCCAGGAAUAAACCCAGAUACGUGUAUCUGGCUGAAUGUACUGGAAGAAUAAGGAUCGGCUAACUCCGUGCCAGCAGCCGCGGUAAUACGGAGGAUCCGAGCGUUAUCCGGAUUUAUUGGGUUUAAAGGGUGCGUAGGCGGCCAAUUAAGUCAGGGGUGAAAUACGGUGGCUCAACCAUCGCAGUGCCUUUGAUACUGAUUGGCUUGAAUCCAUUUGAAGUGGGCGGAAUAAGACAAG